AACGACUCGAUGGACUCGGCCGCGCGUACAUGACAUCGAAGGCAGCGUUUUGUGUCUCAUCGAAUUGUUCUUGGUAUUUACAGUGUUCAGUCGGUGGAGCUUGACAGUACGUUAGAAACGAAAUGAUUCUGUUGUAAAGUUGACGGUGAUGUAACGGAAAGUAAAUCGGUGAGAGUGAACCGAUUCGCGGUGAAUGAGAAGAUAUUAAAGUGAAGUGGAGAAGGAAAAUCGGCCCGGGGAAGGUUUAUCAUCGUCGUUUCGAAUGGAUACACAACCUCUCUACUGAACAAGUUUUCAUCUUACUGAGCUUACUUUGUCGUAAGAUAAAUAUUUAACAGUUCUUGUAGUCUCUGUCGCGAAUAUCGUGUAUUCUAUUGUAUAAAAGGUUACAUUAGAUUAAUAAUGAGCGAUGGUAAGAAGGUAGGUGAAAAUUCCAGUAGUGAGGUUGUUAACCAAUUUCGAAGCUGUAGGGAUCUCAGCGAUAUCGUGCCUCUGUAUACGCCACGCGCGCUUUAUUUAAAACCAGUUGCAAAAAUAAAUGUGUCUGUUAAUCUUCCCCAGCUGAAAGUCCCAGGAAAAACUAUAUCAACAUGGGAAGUAAUGGAGAAGAUACGUGCCUUAAUACUACCGGACGAGUUUGCAUCUCUGAAGGUAGCCAAGAGUACACUGGAAUUUAUCAGAUUGGAAGGGGACUUGCAAGACAGAUGCAGACUCCAGCGUGUGCUUGCAAGACUCGAUUCUCAGCAUUUGAAUCUAUCUGGAUUUGCCAACAUUUUGAAAGUUCGUGCAGCAGAGACAAAGGAUGACUUUCCCACGAGACAUAGUUGGGAUUCUUACUUUAGAGAUGCUAAGCACAUGAAUGAAUUGAAGCCUGGAGAGAGGCCUGAUACGCUACACAUAACAGGCUUGCCUGUUAAGUGGUUUACAGAAGAUGGUUCAACCAUGCCUAGUGAAUCCUUGGUUGCCAAAAUUUUUAAAAAAUGGGGAACACUUAGAAGAAUCGAUGUACCUGCUGCAGAUCCUUAUAGAUCUAGAAUGCGUCUUGGUACAAACAUAAAUAAAUUUAGUUACGAAGAUGGAAUAUUUUUUGAUGCUUACAUUCAAUAUGUGGAAUAUAUGGAUUUUGUUAGAGCUAUGGAUGCAUUGCGUGGUAUGAAGAUUCUUAAAAAAGAAGGGGACAAUGCAUUCACUGCUGCCAUAAAGAUUACUUUUGACAAAACAAAACACAUGAGCGAUAGUUCUGUCGCGCAUAGAGAAUUCGAAAGAAAACGCCUCAUAGCACAGGAUACAUUAGCGUCGGAACGGCUUCGUAGGAAAGAAGAAGCUGAAGAGAAACGUCGUGUCGAACUAAAGAAAAAGGAAGAAGCCGAUACAACUGCUAAAAAACGAAGACGACAAAAACGAGAAGAGAAACGCAAACGCAAAGCUUUGACUAUGUUUCGGAAAAAAGAAGAAGAUAAAGUGUCUAUGAAAAUUGCUAGAGAAGGACAGAAAUUAAUAAAAGCACAGAGGCAGCUUGAAAGCAUUCGCCUGUUGGACGAAUUAUUUGACAGGAUAAAGAUAAAAGUGGAAAAUAAUGAAAUUAAAAUAGAUGAAGUGACGAACACGGAUGUAAAGAAAGACGACAAAAAGAAUAGUAAACAAGAUGGCGCUGUUCAAAUACUCAGUUCAGACGAGGAGACAAAAGAUGGAAAAAACGAAAAGAAAAUAAAAAAGUCGAAACGGAAGAAAUCAAAAAAGGGAAAAAAAUCAAAGAAGAAACAUAAGAAGGAUUCUGCAAAUUCUGCAAGUCUCAGCGACGAUUCGGAUGCGGAAGGUCAAACGAAGAAACUGAAGAGUGUUCUAAAACAGAACGUUUCAUAUCCAUCUUCGUCGACAGCUCCUACUGCCUUGGAAACUCUUCCUUACCCAAGUCUCUAUCCACGAUUUCCGCAACCGUGGUACUACGAAGCAGCGUUACCCAUGAUUUACCCUGCUUUGUCAAGGGGUGUGCCCAGAGGUGGACGAUUUCCACGCGGGAGGGGUAGAGGAUUUCUGUGGCGUAAUGCUGGAAAUGCUCGCACACUGCACUCUUUCAACCCACAUUUAUACAACGAGGAGUACUACAAGUACUUCGCUCAUUUAGUAGGCCAAGAUUAUCAUUCUUUCGAAUUUAGAAGUUCAAGAUCCCGUAGUCGCAACAGGUCGUUCAGCAAAUCCAGAUCUAGAUCUAAGUCCAGAUCGAGGUCAAGAUCCAAGUCUGGUUCAAGGUCGAGGUCCAAAUCGCGGGAUCGAUCGAGAUCACGUGCAAGAUCGAAGACCGGUUCGAGGUCGCGAAGUCGGAGACGCAGUAAAAGUAAUAGCAGAUCCCGAUCAAGAAAACGACGGGGAAGAUCGAGAUCUAUAUCGAAAUCAAGGUCGAAGUCUUCCACGAGAGUAAGGUCCCGAUCUCGUCGAUCGAGAUCUAGAAAAAAGUCCCGUUCUCGAAGUCGUUCAAAGUCCAGAAGUAAUACCAAAAAUCGUUAUAGACGAAGACGAGAUAGAUCAACGUCAAAGGUCAAAGUGACAAGGGCGAAAUCUCGCAGUGCAUCACCCAAAAGAAGAUCUCGCAGUAGCACUUGGUCCAUGCCAAAGUCUCCUGGUAGAAGAAGCUGUUCCUGGUCGAAAGGUGUCGAUACUAUUAAUAAUAAAGCGAAUUCGGAUAACUCGACUCUCGCGGAAGAGCAAGCGGGUACGAACAAAGAAGCGCCACAAACUUCUCAACUGGAAAACGUAACUUCCGACUGACGACCAUUGAAGAUUAUUCUUCCGUUGUGUGUCUUCGAUCCUAUCGCGUAAAAGGAAUGCAUAGUGUUGUAAUACUGUGUACAAAAACUGUGUAAAUUUGUGUAACUGUACUUGUAUAUAUACACAGACGUUGGUAGUGUGCGUUGACGAAAAAAAAAAAUAUAUUUUUGUUUACGUGAUAACCCUUUCUAACCUUAAGCAACGCAUUACAGUAAUAUCAUACAAACCCACGAAAUGAUAGAAGUACCGUAUUUUCUAAUCGCCGUUCAAAAUAAAUACGACAUCGACAAACUA